rnacentral:rRNA from 1 species
UACGUAGGUGGCAAGCGUUGUCCGGAAUUAUUGGGCGUAAAGCGCGCGCAGGCGGCCUUUUAAGUCCGAUGUGAAAGCCCACGGCUCAACCGUGGAAGGUCAUUGGAAACUGAAAGGCUUGAGUACAGAAGAGGAAAGCGGAAUUCCACGUGUAGCGGUGAAAUGCGUAGAGAUGUGGAGGAACACCAGUGGCGAAGGCGGCUUUCUGGUCUGUAACUGACGCUGAGGCGCGAAAGCGUGGGGAGCGAACAGG